rnacentral:rRNA from 1 species
GUAGGUGGCAAGCGUUGUCCGGAAUUAUUGGGCGUAAAGCGCGCGCAGGCGGUCCUUUAAGUCUGAUGUGAAAGCCCACGGCUCAACCGUGGAGGGUCAUUGGAAACUGGGGGACUUGAGUGCAGAAGAGGAAAGCGGAAUUCCACGUGUAGCGGUGAAAUGCGUAGAGAUCUGGAGGAACACCGAUGGCGAAGGCAGCCCCUGGGCUAACACUGACGCUCAUGCACGAAAGCGUGGGGAGCAAACAGGAUUAGAUACCCUGGUAGUCCACGCCCUAAACGAUGUCAACUGGUUGUCGGGGAAGUUAUUCCUUGGUAACGAAGCUAACGCGUGAAGUUGACCGCCUGGGGAGUACGGCCGCAAGGUUA